rnacentral:rRNA from 1 species
AGAGUUUGAUCAUGGCUCAGAGUGAACGCUGGCGGCGUGCUUAACACAUGCAAGUCGAGCGAAUUCCGGCAGAGUACCGCCGGAGUUAGCGGCAGACGGGUGAGUAAUACUUGGGCGAUCUGCCCUCGAGAGGGAAACAACCUGCCGAAAGGCGGGCUAAUGUCCCAUAAGACCACAGGGUCGCAUGAUCCAGGGGUCAAAGCUCCGCAAGGGGCGCUUGAGGAGGAGCCCGAGUCCUAUCAUGGUAGUUGGUGGGGUAAUGGCCCACCAAGCCUUUGACGGGUAGCCGGCCUGAAAGGGUGAUCGGCCACACUGGCACUGAGACACGGGCCAGACUCCUACGGGAGGCAGCAGUGGGGAAUUUUGGACAAUGGGGGCAACCCUGAUCCAGCGACGCCGCGUGGAGGACGAAGGUCUUCGGAUUGUAAACUCCUUUUGGAGGGGAUGAAUGGCCUGGUGAAUAGCCAGGUGUGACAGUACUCUCUGAAUAAGCCACGGCUAACUACGUGCCAGCAGCCGCGGUAAUACGUAGGUGGCAAGCGUUACUCGGAAUCACUAGGCGUAAAGCGCAGGUAGGCGGUUCGGUAAGUCUCUUGUGAAAGCUCCCGGCUCAACUGGGAGAGGUCAAGGGAAACUGCCGGGCUAGAGUGUGGCAGAGGAAGCUGGAAUUCCCGGUGUAGCGGUGAAAUGCGUAGAGAUCGGGAGGAAUACCUAUGGCGAAAGCAGGCUUCUGGGCCGUCACUGACGCUGAUCUGCGAAAGCUAGGGGAGCAAACAGGAUUAGAUACCCUAGUAGUCC